GACAUCCAGAGAACUUAGCAGAGAUGCUUUGGUGCCUUUCGGGAACUCUGAGACAGGUGCUGCAUGGCUGUCGUCAGCUCGUGUUGUGAAAUGUUGGGUUAAGUCCCGCAACGAGCGCAACCCUUAUCCUUUGUUGCCAGCGGUCCGGUCGGGAACUCAAAGGAGACUGCCAGUGAUAAACUGGAGGAAGGUGGGGAUGACGUCAAGUCAUCAUGGCCCUUACGAGUAGGGCUACACACGUGCUACAAUGGCAUAUACAAAGAGAAGCGACCUCGCGAGAGCAAGCGGACCUCAUAAAGUAUGUCGUAGUCCGGAUUGGAGUCUGCAACUCGACUCCAUGAAGUCGGAAUCGCUAGUAAUCGUGGAUCAGAAUGCCACGGUGAAUACGUUCCCGGGCCUUGUACACACCGCCCGUCACACCAUGGGAGUGGGUGCAAAAGAAGUAGGUAGCUUAACCUUCGGGAGGGCGCUACCACUU
rnacentral:rRNA from 1 species